GCUCAGAUUGAACGCUGGCGGCAUGCCUUACACAUGCAAGUCGAACGGUAACGCGGGGGCAACCCUGGCGACGAGUGGCGAACGGGUGAGUAAUACAUCGGAACAUAUCCAGUAGCGGGGGAUAACCUAUCGAAAGAUGGACUAAUACCGCAUACGAUCUACGGAUGAAAGCAGGGGACCGCAAGGCCUUGCACUAUUGGAGUGGCCGAUGUCGGAUUAGCUAGUUGGUGGGGUAAAAGCUUACCAAGGCGACGAUCCGUAGCUGGUCUGAGAGGACGAUCAGCCACACUGGAACUGAGACACGGUCCAGACUCCUACGGGAGGCAGCAGUGGGGAAUUUUGGACAAUGGGCGCAAGCCUGAUCCAGCCAUGCCGCGUGAGUGAAGAAGGCCUUCGGGUUGUAAAGCUCUUUCGGUGAAGACGAAACGGUUAGCGCUAAUAACGCUGACUAAUGACGGUACUCACAGAAGAAGCACCGGCUAACUACGUGCCAGCAGCCGCGGUAAUACGUAGGGUGCAGGCGUUAAUCGGAAUUACUGGGCGUAAAGCGUGCGCAGGCGGUUUGCUAAGACAGGUGUGAAAUCCCCGAGCUUAACUUGGGAAUUGCGCUUGUAACUGGCAAGCUAGAGUGUAGCAGGGGGGGGGUGGAAUUCCACGUGUAGCAGUGAAAUGCGUAGAUAUGUGGAGGAACACCGAUGGGCGAAGGCAGCCCCCUGGGUUAACACUGACGCUCAUGCACGAAAGCGUGGGGAGCAAACAGGAUUAGAUACCCUGGUAGUCCCACGCCUAAACUAUGUCAACUAGUUGUCGGGGAAGAAAUUCCUUGGUAACGAAGCUAACGCGUGAAGUUGACCGCCUGGGGAGUACGGCCGCAAGGUUAAAACUCAAAGGAAUUGACGGGGACCCGCACAAGCGGUGGAUUAUGUGGAUUAAUUCGAUGCAACGCGAAAAACCUUACCUACCCUUGACAUGCUAGGAAGCCCGCAGAGAUGUGGGUGUGCCCGAAAGGGAACCUAGACACAGGUGCUGCAUGGCUGUCGUCAGCUCGUGUCGUGAGAUGUUGGGUUAAGUCCCGCAACGAGCGCAACCCUUGCCAUUAGUUGCUACAUUCAGUUGGGCACUCUAAUGGGACCGCCGGUGACAAACCGGAGGAAGGUGGGGAUGACGUCAAGUCCUCAUGGCCCUUAUGGGUAGGGCUUCACACGUAAUACAAUGGUCGGUACAGAGGGCUGCCAACCCGCAAGGGGGAGCUAAUCCCAGAAAGCCGAUCGUAGUCCGGAUUGUAGUCUGCAACUCGACUGCAUGAAGCCGGAAUCGCUAGUAAUCGCGGAUCAGCAUGUCGCGGUGAAUACGUUCCCGGGUCUUGUACACACCGCCCGUCACACCAUGGGAGUGGGUUCCACCAGAAGUAGUUAGCCUAACCGCAAGGAGGGCGAUUACCACGGUGAGAUUCAUGACUGGGGUGAAGUCGUAACAAGGUAACC
rnacentral:rRNA from 1 species